rnacentral:tRNA from 1 species
UUCCUGGUGGUCUACUGGUUAAAGACUCAGCAUUUUGAUUGCUGCAACUUGGGUUCAAGCCCUAGCCUGGGAA